GUGGGGUAACGGCCUACCAAGGCGACGACGGGUAGCUGGUCUGAGAGGACGACCAGCCACACUGGGACUGAGACACGGCCCAGACUCCUACGGGAGGCAGCAGUGGGGAAUCUUGCGCAAUGGGCGAAAGCCUGACGCAGCGACACCGCGUGGGGGAUGAAGGCCUUUCAGGUCGUAAACCCCUUUCGGCAGGGACGAAGCGAUCUCGUGACGGUACCUGCAGAAGAAGCCUCGGCUAACUACGUGCCAGCAGCCGCGGUAACACGUAGGAGGCGAGCGUUGUCCGGAAUCAUUGGGCGUAAAGAGCGCGCAGGCGGCUUGGCAAGUCGGGUGUGAAAUCCCGGGGCUCAACCCCGUGACUGCAUCCGAUACUGUCAGGCUAGAGGUAGGUAGGGGAGAUCGGAAUUCCUGGUGUAGCGGUGAAAUGCGCAGAUAUCAGGAGGAACACCGGUGGCGAAGGCGGAUCUCUGGGCCUUACCUGACGCUCAGGCGCGAAAGCUAGGGGAGCGAACAGGAUUAGAUACCCUGGUAGUCCUAGCCGUAAACGUUGGGUGCUAGGUGUGGGCGGAUAUCAACCCCGUCCGUGCCGAAGCUAACGCAUUAAGCA
rnacentral:rRNA from 1 species